AGCGAACGUUAGCGGCGGGCCUAACACAUGCAAGUCGAACGCGAAAGGUCUUCGGACUGAGUAGAGUGGCGCACGGGUGAGUAACACGUAGGUAAUCUACCCUUUGGCGGGGGAUAACGUUCCGAAAGGAGCGCUAAUACCGCAUAAGACCACGGAGUCUCCGGACGCUGUGGGAAAAGGUGGCCUCUUCUUGAAAGCUACCACCGAAGGAUGAGCCUGCGUCCCAUCAGCUAGUUGGUAAGGUAAUGGCUUACCAAGGCGAAGACGGGUAGCUGGUUUGAGAGAAUGAUCAGCCACACUGGCACUGGAACACGGGCCAGACUCCUACGGGAGGCAGCAGUGAGGAAUAUUGGGCAAUGGGCGAAAGCCUGACCCAGCCACGCCGCGUGAGUGAUGAAGGCCCUCGGGUCGUAAAGCUCUGUGGAGAGGGACGAAAACCCUGGUUUCAAAUAGGCUCCAGGCUUGACGGUACCUCUUUAGCAAGCACCGGCUAACUCUGUGCCAGCAGCCGACG
rnacentral:rRNA from 1 species